rnacentral:rRNA from 1 species
AGCGAACGCUGGCGGUAGGCCUAACACAUGCAAGUCGAACGGCAGCACAGGCGAGCUUGCUCUCUGGGUGGCGAGUGGCGGACGGGUGAGGAAUACAUCGGAAUCUACUUUUUCGUGGGGGAUAACGUAGGGAAACUUACGCUAAUACCGCAUACGACAUACGGGUGAAAGCAGGGGAUCUUCGGACCUUGCGCGAUUGAAUGAGCCGAUGUCGGAUUAGCUAGUUGGCGGGGUAAAGGCCCACCAAGGCGACGAUCCGUAGCUGGUCUGAGAGGAUGAUCAGCCACACUGGAACUGAGACACGGUCCAGACUCCUACGGGAGGCAGCAGUGGGGAAUAUUGGACAAUGGGCGCAAGCCUGAUCCAGCCAUACCGCGUGGGUGAAGAAGGCCUUCGGGUUGUAAAGCCCUUUUGUUGGGAAAGAAAUCCAGCUGGUUAAUACCCGGUUGGGAUGACGGUACCCAAAGAACAAGCACCGGCUAACUUCGUGCCAGCCGCCGCAGUAA